UGGGGAAUCUUCCGCAAUGGGCGAAAGCCUGACGGAGCAACGCCGCGUGAGUGAUGAAGGUCUUAGGAUCGUAAAACUCUGUUAUUAGGGAAGAACAAACGUGUAAGUAACUGUGCACGUCUUGACGGUACCUAAUCAGAAAGCCACGGCUAACUACGUGCCAGCAGCCGCGGUAAUACGUAGGUGGCAAGCGUUAUCCGGAAUUAUUGGGCGUAAAGCGCGCGUAGGCGGUUUUUUAAGUCUGAUGUGAAAGCCCACGGCUCAACCGUGGAGGGUCAUUGGAAACUGGAAAACUUGAGUGCAGAAGAGGAAAGUGGAAUUCCAUGUGUAGCGGUGAAAUGCGCAGAGAUAUGGAGGAACACCAGUGGCGAAGGCGACUUUCUGGUCUGUAACUGACGCUGAUGUGCGAAAGCGUGGGGAUCAAACA
rnacentral:rRNA from 1 species